GAUGAACGCUCGCGGCAGGCCUAACACAUGCAAGUCGAGGGAGAAGCCCUUUCGGGGGCAGAAACCGGCGCACGGGUGCGUAACGCGUAUGCAACCUACCUUUCACAGGGGGAUAGCCCGAAGAAAUUUGGAUUAAUACCCCAUAAUAUUAUUGGAUGGCAUCAUUUGAUAAUUAAAACUGCGGUGGUGAAAGAUGGGCAUGCGUCCUAUUAGCUAGUUGGAGUGGUAACGGCACCCCAAGGCUACGAUAGGUAGGGGUCCUGAGAGGGAGAUCCCCCACACGGGUACUGAGACAGGGACCAGACUCCUACGGGAGGCAGCAGUGAGGAAUAUUGGUCAAUGGUCGGAAGACUGAACCAGCCAUGCCGCGUGCAGGAAGAAUGCCUUAUGGGUUGUAAACUGCUUUUAUAUGGGAAGAAUAAGGCGUACGUGUACGUUGAUGACGGUACCAUAUGAAUAAGCAUCGGCUAACUCCGUG
rnacentral:rRNA from 1 species